GAUGAACGCUGGCGGCGUGCCUUACACAUGCAAGUCGAACGGUGAAGCAGAGCUUGCUCUGUGGUUCAGUGGCGAACGGGUGAGUAACACGUGAGCAACCUGCCCCUGACUCUGGGAUAAGCGCUGGAAACGGCGUCUAAUACUGGAUAUGAGCUGCGACCGCAUGGUCAGCGGUUGGAAAGAUUUUUCGGUCUGGGAUGGGCUCACGGCCUAUCAGCUUGUUGGUGAGGUAAUGGCUCACCAAGGCGUCGACGGGUAGCCGGCCUGAGAGGGUGACCGGCCACACUGGGACUGAGACACGGCCCAGACUCCUACGGGAGGCAGCAGUGGGGAAUAUUGCACAAUGGGCGAAAGCCUGAUGCAGCAACGCCGCGUGAGGGAUGACGGCCUUCGGGUUGUAAACCUCUUUUAGCAGGGAAGAAGCGAAAGUGACGGUACCUGCAGAAAAAGCGCCGGCUAACUACGUG
rnacentral:rRNA from 1 species